rnacentral:rRNA from 1 species
UAGGGAAUCUUCGGCAAUGGGGGGAACCCUGACCGAGCAACGCCGCGUGAGUGAAGAAGGUUUUCGGAUCGUAAAGCUCUGUUGUUAAGGAAGAACGAGUGUGAGAAUGGAAAGUUCAUGCUGUGACGGUACUUAACCAGAAAGGGACGGCUAACUACGUGCCAGCAGCCGCGGUAAUACGUAGGUCCCGAGCGUUGUCCGGAUUUAUUGGGCGUAAAGCGAGCGCAGGCGGUUAGAUAAGUCUGAAGUGAAAGGCAGUGGCUCAACCAUUGUAGGCUUUGGAAACUGUUUAACUUGAGUGCAGAAGGGGAGAGUGGAAUUCCAUGUGUAGCGGUGAAAUGCGUAGAUAUAUGGAGGAACACCAGUGGCGAAAGCGGCUCUCUGGUCUGUAACUGACGCUGAGGCUCGAAAGCGUGGGUAGCAAACAGG